rnacentral:rRNA from 1 species
GACAUAGGUGGCAAGCGUUGUCCGGAAUCAUUGGGCGUAAAGAGCGUGUAGGCGGCCCGAUAAGUCCGCCGUGAAAGUCCAGGGCUCAACCCCUGGGGAUGCCAGUGGAAACUGUCGGGCUAGAGUCCGGAAGAGGCGAGUGGAAUCCUGGUGUAGCGGUGAAAUGCGCAGAUAUCAGGAGGAACACCAAUGGCGAAGGCAGCUCGCUGGGACGGUACUGACGCUGAGACGCGAAAGCGUGGGGAGCAAACAGG